rnacentral:rRNA from 1 species
GACGAACGCUGGCGGCGUGCCUAAUACAUGCAAGUCGAACGGAGUGGCGAACGGGUGAGUAACACGUGGGUGAUCUGCCUUGCACUCUGGGAUAAGCUUGGGGAACUGGGUCUAAUACCGGAUAGUGCAAGAUGAGCUCGCGGCCUAUCAGCUUUUUGGUGGGGUAAUGGCCUACCAAGGCGUCGACGGGUAGACGGCCUGAGAGGGUGUCCGGCCGCAUAGGGACGGAGAUACGGCCCAGACGCCUACGGGUGGCAGCAGUGGGGAAGAUUGCACAAUUGGCGGAAGGCUGAUGCAGCGGGGCCGCGUGUGGGAAGACGGCCUUCUUGUUGUAAACUCCUUUCGACAGGGACGCGGUACCUGUAUAAGAAGCACCGGCUAACUACGUGCCAGCAGCCGCGGUAAUUC